UUCGCACCUGACUUUAAUUACAGGGGACUCCACCCAGACUCCUAUGGGAUCUGGGCUCCGCCCAUGACUUCAACUUCGAGAGGACUCCGCCCGGACUCCCACGGGAGCCGGGCUCCGCCCAUGACUCCGACCUCAAGGAGGACUCCGCCCGGACUCCUACGGGAGCCGGGCUCCGUCACCGGCUCCGACCACUGCCGAACUUCAGCCGACGAAUCUGUAUUUUCCGCCAAGAUACGGCAACCACCACGAUCCUGCUCCACUUCCUGCGAUGGAAUCCAUGCAGCUCCAUCAAUCCCUGACAGACUGCUAUGACAGCCACGACUCUGCUCCACUUCUUGCGAUGGAUUCCACGCAGCUCCAUUAUUCCCGG
rnacentral:lncRNA from 1 species